GACGAACGCUGGCGGCGUGCUUAACACAUGCAAGUCGAGCGGUAAGGCCCUUUCGGGGGUACGACGAGCGGCGAACGGGUGAGUAACACGUGGGUGACCUGCCCUCAGCUCUGGGAUAAGCCUGGGAAACCGGGGUCUAAUACUGGAUAUGACUCCAUGACGCAUGUUGUGGGGUGGAAAGCCUUGUGCGGCUGAGGAUGGGCCCGCGGCCUAUCAGCCUGUUGGUGGGGUGANGGCCUACCAAGGCGACGACGGGUAGCCGGCCUGAGAGGGCGACCGGCCACACUGGGACUGAGACACGGCCCAGACUCCUACGGGAGGCAGCAGUGGGGAAUCUUGCGCAAUGGGCGAAAGCCUGACGCAGCGACGCCGCGUGAGGGAUGACGGCCUCGG
rnacentral:rRNA from 1 species